rnacentral:rRNA from 1 species
CGCAAGCCUGACGGAGCAAGACCGCGUGGGGGAGGAAGGCUCUUGGGUUGUAAACCCCUUUUCUCAGGGAAGAACCAAAUGACGGUACCUGAGGAAUCAGCCUCGGCUAACUCCGUGCCAGCAGCCGCGGUAAUACGGAGGAGGCAAGCGUUAUCCGGAAUGAUUGGGCGUAAAGCGUUCGUAGGUGGCUAUUCAAGUCUGCUGUCAAAGACAGAAGCUCAACUUCUGAAAGGCAGUGGAAACUGAAUAGCUAGAGUGUGGUAGGGGCAGAGGGAAUUCCUGGUGUAGCGGUGAAAUGCGUAGAUAUCAGGAAGAACACCAGUGGCGAAGGCGCUCUGCUGGGCCAUAACUGACGCUGAUGGACGAAAGCUAGGGGAGCG